UUUCGCAAUGCCCGAAAGGGUGACGAAGCGACGCCGCGUGUGGGAAGAAGGCCUUCGGGUUGUAAACCACUGUCGGGAGUUAGGAAAUGUAAGGGUGCUAAUAGUAUCCUUACUUGACUAAGGCUCCGGAGGAAGCCACGGCUAACUCUGUGCCAGCAGCCGCGGUAAUACAGAGGCGGCAAGCGUAGUUCGGAAUUAUUGGGCGUAAAGAGCACGUAGGCGGCCUUGUAAGUCAGUUGUGAAAGCCUUCUGCUUAACGGAAGAACAGCAGCUGAUACUGCAAGGCUAGAGUGCGGAAGGGGAGAGUGGAACUUCUGGUGGAGCGGUGAAAUGCGUAGAUAUCAGAAGGAACACCGGCGGCGAAGGCGACUCUCUGGUCCGUAACUGACGCUGAGUGUGCGAAAGCUAGGGGAGCAAACGGGAUUGGAUACCCCGGUAGUCCUAGCCGUAAACGAUGGGCACUAAGUAGAGGGGUUUUA
rnacentral:rRNA from 1 species